ACUGUAACCACUGGAUUCUGGAGGUACCCUUCCUCUCAGCCUCUCCUACUGAAGCCAUGUCAGUGUGCGGUGGAGAAUUUGGCAGUGCUGGCGUGGUGAGGAGGAAUCAUCUUGGGAUAAUUUAUUUCUGUCUCACGUCCAAAUCCAAAAUUAUUUUAUUGCCCGGCUUACUUCCAGAACACCAUGGACUCACGAAACUCUGUGCUGCAUGAUGAUACAAGAUCAAGGGGUGUACUGAUACCCAGUGAUGAUGAUAUGACAUUGUCUUGUACUUGAAAGAAAUUGAGAAUGGCACUGUUCAUGAUGUCUGAACUGUUACAGCAUCUCUGUAAAUUGUGAGAAUGGUUCAGUGAAAUUGGAAGAAGAUGUAACUGGAAUGAGACAUCAUGUAGUUUUUCUGUUCCUGAAAUGAAGAAAUGGACACUGAAGAGAAGUAUAUCUGUGAAUACUUGGCUGUAAGAGUCUCCUGGGGAUGGAUCAGUGUGGUGCAUCUGGAGAAGAGGAUGGAGAGCAAAAUCUUUCUGCAAAGAUACGAGGUGGAAUCAGUAAAGGUGGAAUCCCUCCAGCAAAGAGGUCCAUGGACCUGGGACUACAAAGCCACAGCUUUAGCCUGACUAUCUAUUUAUAUUCACGGAUGUGGGAGUUGCAUUCAGUGCUGGUUUAUGACCAUGACUGGGAUUUUCUGGAAGACUUUCAGACUUCUGCUUGUUUCAUAUUUGUCCCUGAAAAUUGAAGAGGUGAACUACUUUGAGCAUGUGAUCCAUACUUGCCUGGUGAUCAUGGGACUAAGACUGGCUCUCACCCUGCCUCUGGGCCUGAUCCUGACCUACACUGUCUGCUCAGCAUCCUGCCCUCUGCUCGGUGAGGUCCCUGAGCCCUCCUGUCCUGCUGUCACCUUGGCUCCUGCUCACCUUCCCUCAUUGCAGCAGCCAGCCAUUUGAUGCUCCCUGGCACAAAUACUAGUGUAAGAAAGAAAGUUUCCAUUUUAACUUGUAAAAGCAUUAGUUGUAAUGUUUGAAUUUACUUCUUACAUGCCAGUAUGAUUUUUGGGAAUUCAAUGGAGGUAAUGAAGUGAACAUGUUAGUGAACAGUUUCACAUUAAGACCAUUCAUCCAAAUAUUUUGGUUUUGACUCUAUUCAUCUCAUUCUUUCUCAAAACAUUUUCAGUAUCUCGUCAAUGCCUCAAUUCAGAUUGUUAUAUAAAAUUAACAUUGUUGUGUUUAUGGACACAAUUAUGAAAUGCACAGCAUUUAAAAUAGUGUUAACAUUUUCCUAGCAAUGAAAGUAUUUUAUAUGAGCAGUGCUUUUGUCAUUUUCUCUUUUAAUU